rnacentral:rRNA from 1 species
AGUGAACGCUGGCGGUAGGCCUAACACAUGCAAGUCGAACGGCAGCACAGUAAGAGCUUGCUCUUACGGGUGGCGAGUGGCGGACGGGUGAGGAAUACAUCGGAAUCUACUUUUUCGUGGGGGAUAACGUAGGGAAACUUACGCUAAUACCGCAUACGACCUACGGGUGAAAGCAGGGGAUCUUCGGACCUUGCGCGAUUGAAUGAGCCGAUGUCGGAUUAGCUAGUUGGCGGGGUAAAGGCCCACCAAGGCGACGAUCCGUAGCUGGUCUGAGAGGAUGAUCAGCCACACUGGAACUGAGACACGGUCCAGACUCCUACGGGAGGCAGCAGUGGGGAAUAUUGGACAAUGGGCGCAAGCCUGAUCCAGCCAUACCGCGUGGGUGAAGAAGGCCUUCGGGUUGUUAAGCCCUUUUGUUGGGAAAGAAAAGCAGCAGGUUAAUACCCCGCUGUUCUGACGGUACCCAAAGAAUAAGCACCGGCUAACUUCGUG